rnacentral:rRNA from 1 species
GAUGAACGCUGGCGGCGUGCUUAACACAUGCAAGUCGAACGAUGAAGCCCAGCUUGCUGGGUAGAUUAGUGGCGAACGGGUGAGUAACACGUGAGUAACCUGCCCUUAACUCUGGGAUAAGCCUGGGAAACUGGGUCUAAUACCGGAUAGGAUCGCCUACCGCAUGGUGGAUGUUGGAAAGAUUUACCGGUUUUGGUUGGAUGCGCGGCCAAUCGCUUUGUUGGUAGGUUAAGGGCCAACCAAGGCACCGAGGGUUACCCGGCUGGAGAGGGGGAACGGCCACCAUGGGACUGAGAGACGGACCAGAGUCCUACGGGAGGCAGCAGUGGGGAAUAUUGCACAAUGGGCGCAAGCCUGAGGCAGCGACGCCGCGUGAGGGAUGACGGCCUUCGGGUUGUAAACCUCUUUCAGUAGGGAAGAAGCGAAAGUGACGGUACCUGCAGAAGAAGCACCGGCUAACUACGUG